UACGGAGGAUCCAAGCGUUAUCCGGAAUCAUUGGGUUUAAAGGGUCCGUAGGCGGCUUUAUAAGUCAGUGGUGAAAUCCGGCAGCUCAACUGUCGAACUGCCAUUGAUACUGUAGGGCUUGAAUUAUUGUGAAGUAACUAGAAUAUGUAGUGUAGCGGUGAAAUGCUUAGAUAUUACAUGGAAUACCAAUUGCGAAGGCAGGUUACUAACAUUACAUUGACGCUGAUGGACGAAAGCGUGGGGAGCGAACAGG
rnacentral:rRNA from 1 species